rnacentral:lncRNA from 1 species
UUGACCUGUAUAGGUUAAGUGCUUACAGGUCUUAUUUCACUUAAUCGUGAAAACAACCCUACAGAAUGGGUAUAGCUAUCUUUAUUUUAUAGGUGAGAAAACUAAAGGAAUACAACAUGUAUCAGGUAGGAGAGACCACUUUACGGCUUUCACCAUUCACAUUCCUCUUGGAGUAUUUUGCCGCCUUUGAUGACCUGUCAUUCUGCAUAGAGAAGAAUAUAACAUGGGGAAAAGGAUUCUGAAGGUGAAGUGACAGAAGAAAAUUUAAAUCUACAAAUGGCACUAAAAGGAGAAACAUUAAAAAAUAAAUUCCUUGAUAAAAAGAAGAAAAAUGGAGGACAAGAACUUCCAGACCACAAAUGGAAAAAAUGGCCAGAUUUCGAACUUGUUGACACAAGACUUUCUAAAGAAUUCUUUCCUUCAAUCUUCAAAUCCUAAAAUAUUCAAAAUGACAUGUUCUAACAAAGGCAUUGCAAUGAAAACCUGAAUGGAAGAUUGGUCUCCUUAUGGGAAACUCAUGAGAACCUUG